rnacentral:rRNA from 1 species
CCUACGGGAGGCAGCAGUGGGGAAUAUUGCACAAUGGGGGAAACCCUGAUGCAGCGACGCCGCGUGAGUGAAGAAGUAUUUCGGUAUGUAAAGCUCUAUCAGCAGGGAAGAAAUAAAGUCCUUCGGACUUUGGACGGUACCUGACUAAGAAGCCCCGGCUAAAUACGUGCCAGCAGCCGCGGUAAUACGUAUGGGGCAAGCGUUAUCCGGAUUUACUGGGUGGAAAGGGAGCGUAGGCGGCCUGGCAAGCCUGAUGUGAAAUACCUGGGCCCAACCCCGGGGCUGCAUUGGGAACUGCCAGGCUGGAGUGCCGGAGAGGCAGGCGGAAUUCCUAGUGUAGCGGUGAAAUGCGUAGAUAUUAGGAGGAACACCAGUGGCGAAGGCGGCCUGCUGGACGGUGACUGACGCUGAGGCUCGAAAGCGUGGGGAGCAAACAGGAUUAGAUACCCGUGUAGUC